rnacentral:rRNA from 1 species
UAACUGCGAGUGAAGCGGGAAAAGCUCAAAUUUAAAAUCUGGCGGUUUUGCCGUCCGAGUUGUAAUCUGGAGAAGCGUUUUCCGCGUUGGACCGUGUACAAGUCUCUUGGAACAGAGCGUCAUAGAGGGUGAGAAUCCCGUCUUUGACACGGACUACCAAUGCUUUGUGAUACGCUCUCAAAGAGUCGAGUUGUUUGGGAAUGCAGCUCAAAAUGGGUGGUAAAUUCCAUCUAAAGCUAAAUAUUGGCGAGAGACCGAUAGCGAACAAGUACCGUGAGGGAAAGAUGAAAAGCACUUUGGAAAGAGAGUUAAACAGUACGUGAAAUUGUUGAAAGGGAAACGCUUGAAGUCAGUCGCGUUGUCCGGGACUCAGCCUUGCUUCUGCUUGGUGUACUUCCUGGUUGACGGGCCAACAUCGAUUUUGAUCGGCGGAUAAAGGUAGAGGGAAUGUGGCACCUUCGGGUGUGUUAUAGCCCUCUAUCGGAUGCGUCGGUUGGGAUCGAGGACCGCAGCAYGCCUUUUUGGCCGGGGUUCGCCCACGUAACGUGCUUAGGAUGUUGGCAUAAUGGCUUUAAGCGACCCGUCUUGAAACACGGACCAAGGAGUCUAACAUGCCCGCGAGUGUUAGGGUGGUAAACCCUUGCGCGUAAUGAAAGUGAAAGUUGGGACCUCUGUCAUGGAGGGCACCGACGCCCGGCCUUGAACUUCUGUGACGGUGCCGCGGUAGAGCGUGUAUGUUGGGACCCGAAAGAUGGUGAACUAUGCCUGAAUAGGGCGAAGCCAGAGGAAACUCUGGUGGAGGCUCGUAGCGAUUCUGACGUGCAAAUCGAUCGUCAAAUUUGGGUAUAGG